ensembl:lncRNA
CAAAGGAGUAGAAAAGAAAAAAUAAAAAUAAUAAAAACAACACAACCCAACAGUUCCAUGCCCUAAGGAUGGGAGGGGGGAAAUUUUUUUUGGGGGGGAAAAAAAUGGGAAUUUGAGGUUUAUGGGGGAUUUUUCCAACCUCACAUUUUGUGCUCGUGGUGCAUGAUGUGGGAGGGGAAAAUAGGGGAAAAUUGGGGGAAAAAAAUGGGAAUUUGAGGCAGGGAAAAUUUUUUCCAAGCUCACAUUUUGCUCAGGAUUUUGGAGGGGGAAAAUUGGGGGAAAAAAUGGGAAUUUGAGGCAGGGAAAAUUUUUUCCAAUCUCACAUUUUGCUCAGGAUUUUGGAGGGGAAAAUUGGGGGGAAAAAUGGGAAUUUGAGGUUUGGGGAGGGAUUUUUCCAACCUCACAUUUUGUGCUCGGUGUGCACAAUAUAGAAGGGGAAAUUUGAGGGGAAAUGGGAGGAAAAAAUCAGGGAAAAAAGAGGAAUUUGAGGUGGGGAAGUUUUGCAACCUCACAUUUUGUGUUUGGGAGGGGAAAAUUGGGAUGAAAUUGGGAAAUUUGAGGAAGGAAAGGGAAUUUUUCCCACCUCACAUUUUGCAUUUUUGGAGGGGAAAAUUGGGAUGAAAUCGGGAAAUUUGAGGUAGGAAAGGGAAUUUUUCCCACCUCACAUUUUGUGUAUCCUGAGCAAAAUUUCAGAGGUGAAAAUUGGGGUGAAAUCAGGAAACUGGAGGGUUUUCCCACCUCAUAUUUUGUGUUUCCUGAUCACAAUUUUGGAGGGGAAAAUUGGGGUAAAAUUGGGAUGAAAUCAGGAAAUUGGAGGAUUUUCCCACCUCACAUUUUGUGUAUCCCGAGCGCAAUUUCAGAGGGGAAAAUUGGGGUGAAAUCAGGAAAUUUGAGGCAGGAAAAGGGGGCGCUUUUCCCACCUCACAUCUCGUGUACCCGAGCACAAUUUCAGAGGUGAAAAUCGGGGUAAAAUCAGGAAAUCCGAGGCAGCAAGGGGGCGCUUUUCCCACCUCACACCUUGCGUAUCCCGAGCACAAUCUCGGAGGGUAAAAUCAGGAAAUUUGAGGCAGGAAAAGGGGGAGUUUUCCCACCUCACAUUUUGCAUUUCCCGAGCACAAUUUCAGAGGUGGAAAUCAGGG